rnacentral:rRNA from 1 species
UACGUAGGGACCGAGCGUUGUCCGGAAUCAUUGGGCGUAAAGAGCGUGUAGGCGGCUUGCUAAGUCUUGCGUGAAAUCUCGGGGCUCAACCCCGAGCGGUCGUGGGAAACUGGCAGGCUAGAGUGCGGAAGAGGCGAGUGGAAUUCCUGGUGUAGCGGUGAAAUGCGCAGAUAUCAGGAAGAACACCCGUGGCGAAGGCGGCUCUCUGGGACGGUACUGACGCUGAGACGCGAAAGCGUGGGGAGCGAACAGG